rnacentral:rRNA from 1 species
ACGUAGGGAGCAAGCGUUAUCCGGAUUUACUGGGUGUAAAGGGCGCGCAGGCGGGCCGGCAAGUUGGGAGUGAAAUCCCGGGGCUUAACCCCGGAACUGCUUUCAAAACUGCUGGUCUUGAGUGAUGGAGAGGCAGGCGGAAUUCCGUGUGUAGCGGUGAAAUGCGUAGAUAUACGGAGGAACACCAGUGGCGAAGGCGGCCUGCUGGACAUUAACUGACGCUGAGGCGCGAAAGCGUGGGGAGCAAACAG